rnacentral:rRNA from 1 species
AGCGAACGCUGGCGGCAGGCUUAACACAUGCAAGUCGAACGGAGCAUUUCGGUGCUUAGUGGCGGACGGGUGAGUAACACGUGGGAACGUGCCUUUAGGUUCGGAACAACACAGGGAAACUUGUGCUAAUACCGGAUAAGCCUUUCGAGGGAAAGAUUUAUCGCCUUUAGAGCGGCCCGCGUCUGAUUAGCUAGUUGGUGAGGUAAAGGACUCACCAAGGCUACGAUCAGUAGCUGGC